rnacentral:misc_RNA from 1 species
GAUGAAGAACGUAGCGAAAUGCGAUAAGUAGUGUGAAUUGCAGAAUUCAGUGAAUCAUCGAAUCUUUGAACGCACAUUGCGCCCCAUGGUAUUCCGUGGGGCAUGCCUGUUCGAGCGUCAUUUACCCCCUCAAGCUCCGCUUGGUGUUGGGCGUCUGUCCCGCUUCGCGCGCGGACUCGCCCCAAAGGUAUUGGCAGCGGUCGUGCCAGCUUCUCGCGCAGCACAUUGCGCUUCUCGAGGCACCGGUGGGCCCGCGUCCAUCAAGCUCACCCCCCCAGUUUGACCUCGGAUCAGGUAGGGAUACCCGCUGAACUUAAGCAUAACAAUAAGCGGAGGA